rnacentral:rRNA from 1 species
GCAAGUCGAACGAGAACGAGGUUGCUUGCAACCUUUAGUAGAGUGGCGCACGGGUGAGUAACACGUAGAUAAUCUGCCUUCAAGCCUCGGAAUAACUAUUCGAAAGGAUAGCUAAUACCGGAUGAAGUAGCCUGGCACAAGUUGGGCUAUGAAAGAUUGCCUCUUCUUGAAAGCAAUUGUUUGGAGAUGAGUCUGCGGACCAUUAGUUUGUUGGUGGGGUAAAGGCCUACCAAGACUGCGAUGGUUAGCUGGUCUGAGAGGAUGAUC